rnacentral:lncRNA from 1 species
CCAAAAUAAGGUAGAUAAUACAAUUUUCGGAAAAAGACAUAGCCCGACAUCGGGGUAGCACCAGUCAUGAGCAUCUAUCAUAAAAACUACUAGUCUGAAAAGAGUCUACACAACUAUUACAUAACUAAAACCGAAGAAAAUAAGAUAGAGGGAGAAGCACUAGGCUGCAAAUUGCCGGGCAGCUACCUAGUGAAUCCUGGAAUCUGCUGGAAGCUCUCUCAACCCUCGCAAGCAGGACCUGAUACGCCUGAAUCUGCACACGGGGUGCGGGGAGUAAAGUGAGUACUCCAACUUAGUGAGUAAUAAUGAUAAAUGUAGACUGAGUAAUAAGAAACCACAUAAAGGCACAUCAACAUACUAUAAAGAAGUAGUAAAAGCAAUGAAAUAAUGGAAAAUAGGUAAAGUCACUUUAGUUCAGUUAAAACUUCUUCAGAAUUCCUUUUUAACAGUUAAGCAAGUAAAUGACAGGCAACUAGGAAAGGUAAACACAUAAAGAACUACCCCUUACCAACAGAAUCAGCCCCUCGGGCAACACAUGGAAUAAUACCAGCCCCUUGGGCAACACAUGGAACAAUACCAGCCCCUCGGGCUAUAUCUCACAUAACAAUAAGUACCCUCGCUCAUUGCAGGUGUGCAGACUCCUGGAGGGGCCCCUUACAGCCCAAGCGCAAUAUCAAGCCAUCUCGUGGCAUAAUCACAUAGGCUCUCAGCCUCAUAUCAACAAGCCACCUCGUCGCGUACAAAUCUCAGGCCCUCAGCCUCAUAAUCAUAAUCAGUGUUUACUCACAACAUAGGCCCUUGGCCUUACUCAGUCAGAAUCUCAUAAGCCACUCGAGCAACAGUAAAAACAUGAUGCUCAGCCCAAUUUAUCAUUGAAAAUAUCAUUUAAUGUUUAAAACAGAGUAAACAUGGCUGAGUUACGAAAAUAGUAGAAUAUAGCAUGACUGAGUACAAGUAUAAAGUCAAAACAGUGAGGAAAUAUCAGUAAAAAUCCCCUAAGGAUCCAAAUAGUUGGCACGAGGCCCAAAUAUGGCAUUCAGCCCAAAACAUGAUGAUAGCAAAUAGUUUUCAAUCAAAUACGCGGUAAAACAGUCAUUCGGGAUGGACUAUGUCACAAUCCCCAACGGUGCAUGACCCCACGCUCGUCAUCUAGUGUGUGCGUUACUCAAUAUAGCACCACGAUGUGCAAUCCGGGGUUUCAUACCCUCAGGACAAUAUUUACAAUCAUUACUCACCUCUACCCAGUCCAAAUCUCUAGCUCGCGAAGCUUUUGCCUCCUGAAUCGACCUCCGGAUGCCCCAAAUCUAACCAAAAAUCAGUGCAAAACCAUUAAAAUAUGCUAAGGGAACAAAGCCCACUCGAAAGAAAUCAAAUUACAACGCAAAUCCCGAAAUUAGCCAAACCCGACCCCCGAGCCCAUGUCUCGGAUUCCGAUAAAAAUUACAUCGACAGACUCCUUAUCACUCCCCCAGUUCAUUCAUACCAAAAUCAUCAAAAUCCAACCACAAACUACCCCUCAAAUCCCAAAUUCUAGGUCUCCAAUUACAAGCCCUACUUCUUCAAUAUUAGGCUUAAAUUCCAUGAUUAAUUAGGUAGAAUUCACAUUAGAAUCGAGUAUUAAGCCCAUAAAUCUUACCUCCAAGUGUUUCCCCUUGAAUCCCUCUUCAAAAAGCUCCAAAAUCGCUCAAAAAAUGGUGGAAGUUAACCCCAAAAUCGAGGACUAAAUGGCUAUUUAAACAUUCUACCCAGGCAUCCAAUCCUUCUUCGCGAACGCGGUCAAUACCUCGCGUUCGCGAAGCACAAACUAACUUUGACCAAAAUUCCUUCAUCGCAAUCGCGACACCUAUCUCGCGAACGCGAAGGCUUAGCUCCCUAACACAUCGCGAACGCGACUCCCCUUCCGCGAACGCAAAGCACAAACCAACCUGAACCUCAGCUGCUCAACUCCCUCUACGCGAACGCGACACAACCUUGCGAACGCGACUCCCCUUCUGCGAACGCGAAGCACAAACCAACCUGAACCUCAGCUGCUCAACUCCCUCUACGCGAACGAGGCACAACCUCGCGAACGCGAUGCACAAUGGCCCCAGCCCUUCGCGAACGCGGAGCCUCCCUUGCAAAUACGAAGGCUAAAUCCUCAGCCUCACCUGCUAACCCUCUGCGAACGCGAGGGCCUACUCGCGAACGCGAAGGUCAUUUGUCUGUAACACUGAACAACAAUUUUCUGCAUUUUUGCAAAACUUGAAAUGGUUCGAUUGACCACCCAAAACUCUCCCGAUGCCCCCGGGACCUCAACCAAACAUUCCAACAUAUCCCAUAACAUCAUUCAAACUUGUUAUAACCUUCGGAACGCUCAAAACAACUUUAAAACACCAAAUUCGCAUCGGAUUCAAGCCUAAGAAUUCCAAAAUCUUCUAAAUUACGCUUUUGAUCAAAAAGUCUACCAAAACACGUCUGAAUGACCUAAAAUUUUGCGAACACAUCUCAAAUGACACAACAGAACUACUGCAACUUCCGGAUUUCCAUUCCGGCCCCUAUAUUAAAUUCUCACCUAUCAACCGGAAAAUACCAAAAUUUCAAUUUCGCCAAUUCAAGCCUAAAUCUACUCUGGACCUCCAAAACACAUUCCGAUCACGCUAUUAAGUCCCAAAUUACCUCCCGAAGCUAUCCGAACCAUUGGAACUUACAUCCGAGCACUCUGACACAUAAAUCAAUAUCUGGUUGACUUUUCCAACUUAAGCUUUCUCAAAAGAGACUAAGUGUCUAAAAACCUCUCCGAACCUAAUCCAACCAACCCGAUCACACAUAGAACUGACAAACAAAGCAAUUAGAAGCAGAAAUUGAGGAAACGGAGUGGUAACUCAUGAGAUGACUGGACGGGUCGUCACAUUUCAGUGGUCAGUCCAGCAGACCUAGCCCGAGCUAGUUACAACCACCACGUCCUCCCAGAGCUUGUUUUGAAUGUGGUGACACAUGCCAUAUGGUAAGGGAUUGCCCAGACUUAUGAGAGGUGCACCUCCACAGACUCCUCAGCCACAGCUGCCCCGCAGAGUUCUCAGGCUAUGGUUCCAGCACCAGUUGCUACCCCACCUGCUCAGCCAGCUAGAGGUGGAGGUUUGAGGUGGUAGAGGUCUCCCUAGAGGGGGAGGCCAGGCCAAAUAUUAUGCCCUUCCUUCCCGUACUGAGGUUGUCGCCUCCUAUUCGGUCAUCACAGAUAUUGUCCUGGUUUGUCAUAGAGAUGUAUCGGUUCUAUUCGAUCCAGGAUCCACUUAUUCUUAUGUGUCUUCUUAUUUUGCCCCACAUUUGGGCGUAUCUCGGGAUUCUUUGAGUUCCCUUAUUUAUGUUUCUACUCAUGUGGGGGAUUCUCUUGUUGUGGACCGCGUUUAUCGGUCGUGUUUGGUUGCUCUUAGUGGUUUUGAGACCAGAGCAUAUUUAUUAUUGCUCAGCAUGGUAGAUUUUGAUGUUAUCUUAGGCAUGGACUGGUUGUUGCCCCAUUAUGCUAUUCUUGAUUGUCACGCCAAAACCGUGAUGUUGGCUAUGCCAGGUGUUCUACGAGUUGAGUGGAAGGGGUAAUUUAGAUCACACUCACAGUAGAGUUAUUUCUUUCCUUAAAGCUCAGCAAAUGGUUAAGAAGGGGUGUGACGCGUAUCUGGCCUAUGUGAGAGAUGUUAGUAUUGAUACACCUACAGUUGAUUCAGUCCCAGUAGUACGGGACUUCCCUGAUGUGUUUCCAGCUGUUCUUCUGGGUAUGCCACCCGACAGAGAUAUUGAUUUUGUCAUUGAUCNNNNNNNNNNNNNNNNNNNNNNNNNUGGUUCUAUGCGUAUGUGCAUUGAUUAUCGCCAGAUGAACAAAGUUACAAUGAAGAACCGGUAUCCUUUUCCUCGCAUUGAUGAUCUGUUUGACCAGUUACAGGGUGCACGAGUGUUUUCUCAGAUUGACUUACGUUCAUGUCACCAUCAGUUGAAGAUUCGGGACCUAGACAUCCUGAAGACUGCUUUCAAGACUCGGGAGUCUGGGAGCGUCAGUAUGAUGACCCUCAUUUGAUCGUCCUCAAGGACAAGGUUCUGCACAGUAAUGCCAGAGAUGUGACUAUUGGUGAUGACAGGGUAUUGAUGAUACAGGGUCGGGUAUGUGUACCUAAUGUUGAUGGGCUUCGGGAGUUGAUUCUAGAGGAGGUCCAUAGUUUGCGGUAUUCCAUCUAUCCGGGUGCCGCGAAGAUGUACCAGGAUUUGAGAUAGCACUAUUGGUGGAAGCGAAUGAAGAAAGAUAUAGUUGGGUUUGUAGCUCGGUGCCUUAAUUGUCAGCAGGUGAAGUAUGGGCACCAGAGACCGGGUGGGUUGCUUCAGCAGAUAGAGAUUCCGGAGUGGAAGUGGGAGAGGAUCACCAUGGACUUCGUAGUUGGAUUCCCACGGACUUUGAAGAAGUUUGAUGUCAUUUGGGUGAUUGUGGAUCGGCUGACCAAAUUCCCCCAUCUUGUAUGUACUACUUGUUCUUCUGAGCGGUUGGUAGAGAUUUAUAUCCAGGAGAUUGUUCGUCUGCAUGGUAUUCCAGUUUUUAUCAUUUCAGACAGAGGUACUCAGUUCAUAUUGUGGUUCUAGAGGGCCGUAUAACAUGAGUUGGUCACUCGAGUGAAGUUGAGCAAAACAUUUCACCCCCAGACAAACAGACAGUCUGAGCGCACUAUUUAGAUUCUUGAGGAUAUGCUUCGUGUGUGUGUGAUGGAGUUUGGAGGUUCUUAGGAUCAGUUCUUGCCACUGGCGGAGUUUUCCUACAACAACAAUUAUCAGUCCAGCAUUCAGAUGGCACCGUAUGAGGCUUUGUAUGGUAGGCGGUGUAGAUCCCCGGUGGGUUGGUUUGAGCUGGGUGAGGCUAGAUUAUUGGGCACAGACUUGGUUCAGGAUGCUUUGGAGAAGGUUAAGGUAAUUCAGAAUAGACUUCGUACAGCCCAGUCUAGACAGAAGAGUUACGCGGACCGGAAGGUUCGUGAUGUUUCCUAUAUGGUUGGAGAGCGGGUCUUGCUUCGGGUUUCGCCUAUGAAGGGCGUUAUGAGAUUUGGAAAGAAGGGGAAAUUGAGUCCGAGGUUUAUUGUCCCUUUUGAGAUAUUGCGGCGUGUUGGGGAGGUUGCUUAUGAGCUUGCCUUACCUCCCAGCUUGGCAGAAUUUCAUCCGGUAUUUCAUGUUUCGAUGCUCCAGAGGUAUCACGGUGAUCCGUCACAUGUUUUGGAUUUCAGUUCUGUCCAAUUGGACAAGGAUCUAUCCUAUGUUCAUGAGCCAGUGGCGAUAUUGGACAAGCAGGUUCAAAAGCUGAGGUCAAAGAACAUUGCUUCAGUGAAGGUUCAGUGGGGAGGUCAGCCGGUCGAGGAGGCGACCUAGGAGACCGAACAGGAUAUGCGCAUCCAUUACCCUCAUCAUUUCACUACUUUAGGUAUGUCUCUAUGCUCGUUCGAGGAUAAACGAAUGUUUUAAGAGGGGGAGGAUGUAACGACCUGGUCUCCAAAACUCUACAUAAACUCAGUUCUUAAAAUGCUUGUAAACACAUUGUUGGUAUGAAAUCUUAAAAGAAGUUUUAAUUAAAACCAUAAAAAACACAUUUAUUUUGAAUAACCAAAAACAUUAUGCUCCAUAUAUGGUUAAUAGUCAUAAGUCUUCUUUAAACAGAUGAAAAAUCCUACACAUUAGGAUCUUACACAUGACUUCCUAAUGUGUGAUGACCACUAGAUUAUGAUUUUCUAGAAGAUAUGGCUUGAGAUAACAAAUUAACGGAAGUUAACAAGUGGCAUACUGGAAUUUAACAAGAAGCUAAAAUUAUUUCAUAACACGCACAGAGUAUGAACACAUUUAAAAAUCUGAAUCGAACAGAAAAGAGAAAUUGCGAACCUGCUUUAGGGCAAUGAACUGAGGCGUUUGUCAAUGGCUAUUCGACCUUCCGAUUCAAAUCUCGCGACCAGAAGCAAGAAGAUCAUUUCUCGCAUAAGGUUUUUUAAGGGGUAAAGGGGCGGCUGAAGCUUUCCCCCUAAUGGCUGCAAAAACUUGGUAUUUAUAGGGGGAUUCUAGGGUUCUUUGGGCGGGAUUGUUACCUCUAACGUUUGAAAUUAAGAGUGUGGGGGUUUUGAACGGUAAAAUAGUCGUUCAUCAUUUAAUGAGUGAGAUUUGAGCAGAUUUAUUUCAGAUUUGCCUAAGACUUUGAGCAGAUUUGUUUCAAAUUAAUACCCAAAAUGGUUGGGCUACUCCUGUAGCCUUCAAAACAUAGGAUGUUAUGCAGCAAGAAAAGGGAAAAAUGGAGAACCUCCCCAUGUGAGCGAAGAGAUAGAGAAGGGAGGUCUGCCAAUUCAAAUAGUCUGGUAGCGUGAGAGGUCAAAC